GGAGGACCCAGUCAUUCUCUGGUUUCACAAAUAUUUAUGGAAAACCAACCGCUUUCCAGGUUCCGUUUUAGGCACUUUACAGAAUCACUUGCCAACGUCAGCAAGAGGCCCGCCUUAAUGAAGCCUGUCUCCUAUCGCGGAAGCUUACGGUGACAACGGCCCUGAUAAAUGACCAGAGAUUGGAAGCUUCUAGAAGGAAUGACCGUUGGACUGUUAAUGAGAAGCAAAGCUUGGAUUGACCUUUUUAGUUUUCUCUCUAGGGCCCCUGCUGAUCUGACCCCCAUGAGAGCCCAGAUAAGCAGUGGAGUCUGCCCAGUCCUGCUGUUCCCAAGGUGCCAGAGCAGGUCUGGGACACAGGGACAGCCUUCUCCCCAGGCUCCCAGCCCGGCUCAGGGGACAAGUGUCCUGCCUGAAGCAGCCCCCUCCUGUCUCCUUCUUGGACCUCAGCUCCUACAAGCAACGUGCACCAUUUUCUUUUCCACUGAAACAAGCUUUUAA